rfam:Strongylocentrotus purpuratus Contig104557_fixed, whole genome shotgun sequence.
GCAUCGGUGGUUCAGUGGUAGAAUUCUCGCCUGCCACGCGGAUGACCCGAGUUCGAUUCCCGGCCGAUGCA